GCAGAGUAGGAUUCGGCGCGUCAAGUGCUGGCGGAUGGGAAGUUGCCGCCAGACGAAACCGGAAAGCAAUGCCCGGUGCGGUGCCGUUUCCGCAUCCGCUGC
rnacentral:ncRNA from 1 species